GAUGAACGCUGGCGGCGUGCUUAACACAUGCAAGUCGAACGAAGCGCUUAAACGGAUUUCUUCGGAAUGAAGUUUUUGCGACUGAGUGGCGGACGGGUGAGCAACGCGUGGGUAACCUGCCUCAUACAGGGGGAUAACAGUUAGAAAUGACUGCUAAUACCGCAUAAGACCACAGGAUCGCAUGAUCCGGUGGUAAAAACUCCGGUGGUAUGAGAUGGACCCGCGUCUGAUUAGCUAGUUGGUGGGGUAACGGCUCACCAAGGCGACGAUCAGUAGCCGGACUGAGAGGUUGAACGGCCACAUUGGGACUGAGAUACGGCCCAG
rnacentral:rRNA from 1 species